rnacentral:rRNA from 1 species
CUCACUGGUCUAGUGUUUCCGCGCCGACAAUGUAGCGGGGCUCAAGCACACCACCGAAGACGCGGCAGUAGCUUUGCUACUGGGUAGGAGAGCGUCCCAUGCGGGGCGAAGCGGCGGCGCAAGCCCGCCGUGGACCGCAUGGGAGUGAGAAUGCAGACAUGAGUAGCGAAAGACGGGUGAAGAUCCCGUCCGCUGGACGACCAAGGGUUCCAGGGCCACGUUCAUCGUCCCUGGGUGAGUCGGGUCCUAAGGCGAGGCCGACAGGCGUAGUCGAAUGGACGAACGGGUCGAUAUUCCCGUACCGGCAUGCAACCGGCAAAACCGAAUCCGCGAGUACUAACUUCCGGGUCCGGGCUYACGUCUCCUUCGGGAGCCGGAUGCCCUGGCCUGUUGGGACCGUAACGGUAGUAGGUCAGCGCGGGAGUGACGCAGAAGGGUAGCCGGCCGCGGAGGUGGUCUUCCGUGGUCAAGCACGCAGCCCGUCCCACAGGCAAAUCCGUGGGGCGCGUGGGCGAGGUGCGAUGAUGGGCGCCGCAGGGCGCGAUAUCCGGUGAUCCCGGCUGCCGAGAAAAGCUUYGGCGUGAGGCGGCAUGCCGCCCGUACCCCAAACCGACACUGGUGGUCAGGUAGAGAAUACCAAWGCGAUCGAGCGAAUCCUGGUCAAGGAACUCGGCAAAUCACUCCCGUUCCUUCGGUUUAAGGGAGACCCCCGAUGGUGAAGCGGCUUGCCCGCGGAGCUUUUGGGGGUGGCACAGACCAGGGGGUAGCGACUGUUUACCAAAAACACAGGAGCGUGCGAAGGCGCAAGCCGCUGUAUACGCUCUGACGCCUGCCCGGUGCCGGAAGGUUAAGAGGAUCCGUCAGGCCUCGGCCGAAGCGGUGAAUUCAAGCCCCGGUAAACGGCGG